UUCCAGCCUGGGUAACAAGAGCAAAAUUCCAUCUUAAAAAAAAAAAAAAAGUGCACAGCCGAGCGUGGUGGCUCACGCUUGUAAUCACAGCACUUUUGGAGGCUGAAGUGGACAGAUCAUGAGGUUAGGAGUUCGAGAUCAGCCUGGUCAACAUAGUGAAACCGUGUCUCUACUAAAAAUACAAAAAUUACCCGGGCGUGGUGAUGUGCACCUGUAAUCCCAGCUACUUGGGAGGCUGAGACAGGCGAAUCACUUGAAUUCAGGAGAUGGAGGUUGUGGUGACCUGAGAUCGCACCACUGCACUCCAGUCUGGGCAACAGAGCAAGACUCCAUCUCAAAAAAAAAAAAAAUGUGUGCAAAGGACAUGAAUCUAUAUUCUUCAUAAGAUGACGUACAGCUCAUGCCUGUAAUACCAGGAUUUUCAGAGGCAAUGACAGGAGAGUCGCUUGAGCUCAGGAGUUUGAGACUAGUCUGGGCAAUGUAGGGAGACCCUAUCUCUACAAAUAAAAAAAUUAGCUUGGCAUGGUGGCAUGUGCCUGUAUUCCCAGCUACUUGAGAGGCUGAGGUAGGAGAAUUGCUAGAGUCCAGGAGGUCGAACUGCAGUGAGCCAUCAUUGUACCACUGCACUUCAGCCUGGGUGACAGAGUGAGAUCCUGUCUCAGAAAAAACAAACAAACAAACAAAAAAGAAAAACUAGACAUACAAAUGACCAACAAGCAUGUGUAAAAAUAUUUAUCACUAAUCAAAGAUGUACAAUUCAAAACUACAAUGAAAUAUAAUUUUAACCCAUUCAGAAUGCCAUUCGGAGUGACUAUUAAUAAACAGAAAAAAAUAACAGAUAUUGACAAGGAUGCAGAGAAAAGGGAACUCUUUUUAUUUAUUUAUUUGUUUGUCUGUUUUUGAAACUGAGUCCCUCCCUGUCAACCAGGCUGGAGUGCAGCGGUGCAAUCUUGACUCACUUCAACCUCUCCCUCCUGAGUUCAAGCGAUUCUCGUGCCUCAGCCUCCCAAAUUUACAGGCACCUGCCACCAUGCCUGGCUAAUUUUUUUGUAUUUUUAGUAGAGAGGGGGUUUUAUUAUGUUGGACAGGCUGGUCUUGAAAUCUUGACCUCAAGUAAUCCACC
rnacentral:lncRNA from 1 species